UUACGCUAAUACCGCAUACGUUCUACGGAAGAAAGUGGGGGACCUUCGGGCCUCAUGCUUUUGGAGCGGCCGAUGUCUGAUUAGCUAGUUGGUGAGGUAAAGGCUCACCAAGGCGACGAUCAGUAGCUGGUCUGAGAGGACGACCAGCCACACUGGGACUGAGACACGGCCCAGACUCCUACGGGAGGCAGCAGUGGGGAAUUUUGGACAAUGGGCGCAAGCCUGAUCCAGCAAUGCCGCGUGAGUGAAGAAGGCCUUCGGGUUGUAAAGCUCUUUUGUCUCGGAAGAAACGGCUGAGGAUAAUACCUUUGGCUAAUGACGGUACCUGAUGAAUAAGCACCGGCUAACUACGUGCCAGCAGCCGCGGUAAUACGUAGGGU
rnacentral:rRNA from 1 species